rnacentral:tRNA from 1 species
AUUAUUAUAGUUUAAAAAAAAUAGAGGUUUGUGGUGCCUCAGAUGUAUAUUUUUACUAAUAAUC